UGGGAUGUAGCUCAGUAGUAGAGCACUUGCCUAGCAAGCAUGAGGCCCUGGGUUCAAUCCUCAGGGCCACAU
rnacentral:tRNA from 1 species